UCGGAUAUGGUGUAACGGCUAACAUUGCCGCCUCUCAUACAUGUGCGCGGCAGCUCGGGGUUCGAUUCCCCGUAUCCGAA